rnacentral:snoRNA from 1 species
AGUACAUGAUGAGUGUCAACUUCAUGGUCCGUGUUAUUGAUAUACAGUUAUAACAGUGAAGUUCUGAGUUG